rnacentral:rRNA from 1 species
UGGGGAAUAUUGCACAAUGGGCGAAAGCCUGAUGCAGCGACGCCGCGUGAGGGAUGACGGCCUUCGGGUUGUAAACCUCUUUCAGCAGGGAAGAAGCGAAAGUGACGGUACCUGCAGAAGAAGCGCCGGCUAACUACGUGCCAGCAGCCGCGGUAAUACGUAGGGCGCAAGCGUUGUCCGGAAUUAUUGGGCGUAAAGAGCUCGUAGGCGGUUAGUCGCGUCUGCUGUGAAAACUCGAGGCUCAACCUCGGGCUUGCAGUGGGUACGGGCUGACUAGAGUGCAGUAGGGGUGACUGGAAUUCCUGGUGUAGCGGUGGAAUGCGCAGAUAUCAGGAGGAACACCGAUGGCGAAGGCAGGUCACUGGGCCGCAACUGACGCUGAGGAGCGAAAGCAUGGGGAGCGAACAGGAUUAGAUACCCUGGUAGUCCAUGCCGUAAACGUUGGGCACUAGGUGUGGGUCCAUUCCACGGAUUCCGUGCCGCAGCAAACGCAUUAAGUGCCCCGCCUGGGGAGUACGGCCGCAAGGCUAAAACUCAAAUGAAUUGACGGGGUCAUAGCUGUUUCCU